rnacentral:lncRNA from 1 species
GGGCCCCAGAGAGAAAGAGCAAAAUAUUAGCAUGGUAUCAUAGUGCUCUCGUGCAUCAAGACCACUUAAUGACUACUGAUAUGAAAGAAAAGAAGACACAGCAAUAGAAAAUUCAGAAAAUGGGCUGAUAAAAAGGAAAGAAAAAAGACCCUGAUUGGAAAAGUAUAGAUAGAUUAUUACAGUGGUGGGUAAUUAAGGAAAGAAGUUGAUUUGAAGAGAGGAAGAAGAAUGAAAUGUAAUGGAAGGUUUUGGAAGUUACCAUUAAGAAAGAAAAAAGGUUAGUCAAUGGGGUGUCUAAAAAGAUGUGACUUUGAAGUUGGGUUGGCAAAGGGUACAUAUUGACAAGGUGCUUUAGA